UGCGCCUUGCCAGCCCGCUCAGAAACUACAAAGGAAUUGACGGGGGCCCGCACAAGCAGCGGAGCAUGUGGUUUAAUUCGAAGCAACGCGAAGAACCUUACCAAGACUUGACAUCCCCUGACAGCUGUUGAAAGGCAGUGUCUCUUCGGAGCAGGGAGACAGGUGGUGCAUGGUUGUCGUCAGCUCGUGUCGUGAGAUGUUGGGUUAAGUCCCGCAACGAGCGCAACCCUUAUCCUUAGUUACCAGCACGUAAAGGUGGGGACUCUAGGGAGACCGCCGGGGACGACUCGGAGGAAGGUGGGGACGACGUCAAAUCAUCAUGCCCCUUAUGUCUUGGGCUACACACGUGCUACAAUGGCCGCAACAGAGGGAAGCGAGAGCGCAAGCUGGAGCAAAACCCUAAAAAGCGGUCCCAGUUCGGAUUGUGGGCUGCAACCCGCCCACAUGAAGUCGGAGUUGCUAGUAAUCGCGAAUCAGCAUGUCGCGGUGAAUGCGUUCCCGGGCCUU
rnacentral:rRNA from 1 species